rnacentral:rRNA from 1 species
UACGUAGGGUGCAAGCGUUGUCCGGAAUUAUUGGGCGUAAAGAGCUCGUAGGCGGUCUGUCACGUCGGCUGUGAAAUCCCGAGGCUCAACCUCGGGUCUGCAGUCGAUACGGGCAAACUAGAGUAUUGCAGUGGAGACUGGAAUUCCUGGUGUAGCGGUGAAAUGCGCAGAUAUCAGGAGGAACACCGGUGGCGAAGGCGGGUCUCUGGGCAAUAACUGACGCUGAGGAGCGAAAGCGUGGGGAGCGAACAGG